CGACGGGAGCGCGCCCGGCACCGCGAGGCCGCGUGGCCCGGGCGAGCGAGCGUCUCCUGGGGCGCAGGCCCGGCCACAGCUCGGGCCGCUCCCCGCCAGCCCGGGCCAUCCGCGACCUAGGCCGGCCGCUCCCACCCGGAGCGCCCACCCACGCCCACUCGUCCCUCCCAGGCCGCGGGCUCACCUUGCAGCCAGGAUCCAGAAGCCUCACAGGCCGGGACACAGCGGACGCGCGCGCCGAAAACCGAAACCGCCCCCGGCAGCGCGCUUUCCUGUUUCACCCAAUCAGCGGCCUCCUUACCUAUGGCAACCCGCGGGGAUCAAAAAUCAUCAAGACGCGCUAGCGAGCUGACUUCGUGAAGAACGGAUAGACUGCUAUCCAAACUGAACAAACAAGAUGCAGCAAAACUGAGCUUUGCCAAAACAGAGAUGUCUGAUAUGUCACCCCCAAAAGGGUUGAGAACCACUGAAGUAGAGCAAGGCAAGUAAACAGAGUUCCUCCAUGGUCUCUGCUUCAGUUCCUGCCUCCAGGUUUCUGUCUUGAGCUUCUGCUCUAGCCUCCCUCAAUGAAGGACUGUGCGCCAGAAGUGUAAACCAAAUAAACCCUUUCCUCCCUAAGUUGCUUUAGGUCAUAUUCUUUAUUACAGCCAUGAACAUCAAGCUAGGACAGUAGUCCAGGGUGAUUUCCAAAUAACCUGGCCACAAUAGCACACCUUUAAUUCUGGCAUUGCAUUCAUGUGUCAUUAUGCCUAGCAAUCCACCUCUAAUAUAUUGCAUAUUGGCUUCCAACAUACAGAUUUGGGGGGUACCAUCUUUCAGACUCUAACAGAGCAUAACCUAACAAGAACAAGAACAACAACAACAACAAAUCUGUUUUCCCUUAAGAAUCUCAAGAAAAAAAUGGUACCUUUGUUUCUGUUGUGACAAAAGGCACAUGUAUCUGGACACAUUUCAUGCAACUUCCCAAACAUAGGGAGGACUCGGGGCCUCCCAAGAGCAGCACCAUCCUGUUGUCUUCUUUCAUUGCAGGGCUAGAAGUGAUGUAGUACUGCAUACCUUUAGUUUCAGCCACUUGGGAGGCUAAGGCAAGAGGACACAGUGAAAACCUCAUCUAAAUAAAUACAUGAGUAAGCAGGAACAUCAAAGUGAGAAUUGGGGUGUGAACAACUUCCUCCAUGAAUUAUAAUUCGAGGUAAGCAGAAGGCCUGGCAGUCUUCUGUAUGUAUCGAAUGAGAAGCCUCUUUGCCGAUUGGGAUGAGAAGGAGCAAGAGCUUGUGAUUCUCACUGAAGACCAGAGGCAGCUUCUUUCUAUUCUAGGUGAUACGGAACGUGGGGCAGACAAACAGCUUCCGGUGUAGUCCGUGACCAGGACAGAUGCUCAGUGGGUCAGGGUCAGAAUGGCUGGCCCAGGCAUUGGCUAGAUUAAGCUCCAUCAUUGUUAGAUUGCCACCUGUUCCUUUUAAAAGUGUUUACCUAUUUUCUUUCUUCCUGGCAGAUAAAAGUUGCUCUUCACUAUACACAGAUGAAUAAAUGACUAAAUGAAUAAGUCCUCAACUGGUCCCAGGAUGAGAUUCUCUGAGUAUUACAGAUUCAUAAAUAUUAAAUGAAAUAUGAAG